AUUGAACGCUGGCGGCAGGCCUAACACAUGCAAGUCGAACGAGCGGCGGACGGGUGAGUAAUGUAUGGGGAACUGCCCGAUGGCGGGGGAUAACUACUGGAAACGGUAGCUAAUACCGCAUACCAUCGGAUGAGCCCAUAUGGGAUUGGCUUGUUGGUGAGGUACAGGCUCACCUAGGCGAAGAUCCCUAGCUGGUCUGAGAGGAUGACCAGCAACACUGGGACUGAGACACGGUCCAGACUCCUACGUGAGGCAGCAUUGGGGAAUAUUGCACAAUGGGCGCAAGCCUGAUGCAGCCAUGCCGCGUGUAUGAAGAAGGCCUUCGGGUUGUAAAGUACUUUCAGCGAGGAGGCGUUACUCGAAGAAGAAGCACCGGCUAACUCCGUGCCAGCAGCCGCGGUAAUUC
rnacentral:rRNA from 1 species